rnacentral:rRNA from 1 species
UACAGAGGGGGCGAGCGUUGUUCGGAAUUACUGGGCGUAAAGGGCGCGUAGGCGGCCAACUAAGUCAGACGUGAAAUCCCAUGGCUCAACCAUGGAACUGCGUCUGAUACUGGAUGGCUUGAAUCCGGGAGAGGGAUGUGGAAUUCCAGGUGUAGCGGUGAAAUGCGUAGAUAUCUGGAGGAACACCGGUGGCGAAGGCGGAUCUCUGGGCCAUUACUGACGCUGAGGAGCGAAAGCGUGGGGAGCGAACAGG